CACACUCUCUCUCUCUCUCCCACUCGAAUCUCAGAGAGACCGACUGAGAGAUCUCGAAGUCUUCCUAUGGCUCUCUUAGACCAGCAUCAUGGAUGAUCCUGGUUGCCGACCUACGCCGCUAAAGCUACACACUUGAAUCAAAACAAUAUCUUCUUUCUCGUCUAAUUCAAGUUGUUGUUGGGUUGCCUAAAAUACACCGGCACUCUCUUUCUCACCUUUAUCAGUCAAUCAAUCAGGAGCUGUCAAGUUGAUAGCUGGAAAUUGGAAUCAGUUAUAGAUCUUUGAAACAAAGGCAAGUACUGAGGUUUCCUUUUACUCAUCACCUUAAUUUGCUUCAUUUAUUCUGUUACUUGCAAUAUAAGGGUGUUAGAUCGAUUAGUUUCAGGUCAGGAUUUGGCAAUGAAGAUGAAUCCCAACUGCUAACAGGUAACGAGCCCCUGCGUUUUAUUUCCUUUCAAGCUACUGGCUUACCAUUUGAGAUUCUUGAGAGGAUAUUUAUUGGGCAGGAGCACAUCAGUCAGAGGAGUUUGUGUAGUCUUGGUUGUAUUCAGUAGAAGAUAUCCAGUGAGAAAAAAUGUACCCAUUAGAAUAGAAUGUUUUUAUUUUCAUUUGUAGGAUAUUUUUAAGCUUUUUAGUAUAGGUAUGGAUUAUGGAAUACUAUAUUGUAUUUGGUCACCUAUUAAUACAUUUUCGGCUGUGGUA